rnacentral:tRNA from 1 species
GGGGGGAUAGCUCAGUGGUAGAGUGUGUGCUUAGCAUGCAAGAGGUCCUGGGUUCAAUCCCAGUACCUCCA